CAACCCCUCAAGCACUGCUUGGUGUUGGGGCCCCUACGUGCGCCGUAGGCCCCGAAUUCCAGUGGCGGGCUCGCCGCGAACCCGAGCGUAGUAGCUUUUGCCUCGCUCAGGGCCCGCGGCGGGCGCCUGCCGUGAAAGAACCCACAUUCCAAAGG
rnacentral:misc_RNA from 1 species